rnacentral:rRNA from 1 species
UACAGAGGGUGCAAGCGUUAAUCGGAAUUACUGGGCGUAAAGCGCGCGUAGGCGGUUGUGUAAGUUGGAUGUGAAAUCCCCGGGCUUAACCUGGGAAUGGCAUUCAAAACUGCACGGCUAGAGUAUUGGAGAGGAAGGUAGAAUUCCAGGUGUAGCGGUGAAAUGCGUAGAGAUCUGGAGGAAUACCGAUGGCGAAGGCAGCCCUCUGGCCAAAUACUGACGCUGAGGUGCGAAAGCAUGGGGAGCAAACAGG